GACGAACGCUGGCGGCGUGCUUAACACAUGCAAGUCGAACGCUGAAGCUCAGCUUUUGUUGGGUGGAUGAGUGGCGAACGGGUGAGUAACACGUGAGUAACCUGCCCUCUUCUUUGGGAUAACGCCCGGAAACGGGUGCUAAUACUGGAUAUUCACUGAUCUUCGCAUGGGGGUUGGUGGAAAGGUUUGUUCUGGUGGGGGAUGGGCUCGCUGCCUAUCAGCUUGUUGGUGGGGUGAUGGCCUACCAAGGCUUUGACGGGUAGCCGGCCUGAGAGGGUGACCGGUCACAUUGGGAAUGAGAUACGGCCCAGACUCCUACGGGAGGCAGCAGUGGGGAAUAUUGCACAAUGGGCGAAAGCCUGAUGCAGCGACGCCGCGUGAGGGAUGGAGGCCUUCGGGUUGUAAACCUCUGUCGCUCAUGGUCAAGCCGCGACGUGGGUUGUGGUGAGGGUAGUGGGUAAAGAAGCGCCGGCUAACUACGUG
rnacentral:rRNA from 1 species